rnacentral:snoRNA from 16 species
AUGACCACACUCUACAGGAUCUUUUGUAUAGUUGGUCUCCCGUCAUCGUACUCCUACGUUGACAAACCCUAAACGCACGAUGAAGAUAGAGAGGUCCAUCACCUGAGCGUGAGGCAGGAUCAUCGUCCUACUCCUUUGUGGGCAGGCGCUGAUUCCUCGAUGACCGUGCGCUACCGUAUGGCUCUUCGUGAGCAACGGUAGCACUGGUGGUUGGAUCAUUCCGAAUGCG